AGUGCUUGCUGAGCUGAGCCAACUUCCUGUCCCUCUGUUCUUUCCUUACUCUUCCCAGAAAACUUCUUCCCAUGAACCAAAAGCUUCCUCUGUUGCCAUGGAGACCGCCAAGCCAUUCUGAUUCCUGAAAUCUCUUGUGGCCUGUUUUGUCCUCCUUGGAAAUUUUCUGGAUCAUCAUUUUGUCCUUGACAUUUUGAAAUUUCAUGUUGCAGUGUCCUGAGGCCAGAUUUCUCAUUCAUUUCACAGAUAUUGAAAUGAGGCUGUUUGAGGGCCCUGUGGUGGAAAUUCCAGAUGUCAUUGAUCCUCCUCGGCAGAGUUUGCUGGAACCUGAAGUUGGAGAGCCUCCCCUCGCUCUCGGCUGGGCCAGCACACCUAGUAUGCUGUACAUUUGUGUGUCCCUCUGUGGGAGUGGGGGCACAGCCUGGGUUUCUCAUGGGGGGAGUUACUCCCCACUAAGGCCUGGGAGAGGCCCAAAGAAUAGGAGGGGGCAGGAGUCUCUCCUAGUUCAAUCCUCCCCUGCCAGCCCCCAACUCAGCCUGGCCAGGGUCUUCUACCUGUGUCCUACUGGCUGAGCCCUCAGACAUGCCUUGGCCCUAUUUCCUCUCUCAAGGUCCCAGGCCCCUGACAUUCACUUUAGAGGUCAGCGUGAGCAUGGUGGGCACCCUGAUUUGGUGGGGGCAAGGCCAUGUUAUCCAGUGCCCUUCAGGGAACCCAGCAAGGGUUCAAGUCUUCCUCGUCUGUGGGGGCAGAAACCACACACCCAGCCAGAGAUUGUGAUGUCUAGGUCCAGCACUCAUUCUGGGCACUUGGCUCUUCCCAUUGGUCCCUAGAAGGGAAGCAGCUGCCAAGCACCUUGAUUCCCCUCCCCCAGGUUAAGGGUCAGUACAAAAUGGUGGCUUCUGAGGGUCCAGAGCUGAGAGAGGCAGGGACAGUCUGUACAGGCAGUGGGCCACGUGGAGGGCGGGGGUAACUAGUGAUAUGGGGAUGCCAGGCGAGUGGUCAAGAAAGAAUUCCUGAGACGUUUUCAAUGCAAAAAGUUUCUUUUAUUAUAGCACAGGGACAGGACCUCUGGGCAGAAAGAGGUGCACCUGUGACUGUGAGGAGUGAGGGGUUGAAGAUAGCAUAGGUCUCUAAGGAAUUUGGAAGCCAAGUUUCCAAGACCUUGAGGGCUACCUAUUGUUAAGAAAAGGCUAUUCGGGGAUCCCUGGGUGGCGCAGCGGUUUGGCGCCUGCCUUUGGCCCAGGGCGCGAUCUUGAAGACCCAGGAUCGAAUCCCACGUUGGGCUCUUGGUGCAUGGAGCCUGCUUCUCCCUCUGC